rnacentral:lncRNA from 1 species
GAGAUACAACAUUACUUAUAACAUACCAGACAAACUAAGUGACAUUUUAGGCCUACAGUGCAAUAAUAUGUCAAAUUUAAAGAGUUUCCCAAGAUUAUAAACAUACAAAUGUAAUAAAAAUUAUUGUUCGCGAAUAUUCAAUUUGGAAUGCGAUUUUGUUAAUAAAAAAAAUACUUAUAACUUAUGCAAAACCCAAGAGAGGCAUUUAUAUUUAUUUCUUUUGCGUUCAUUUUCAAAUUCGCCGUGCAUAUAUUUUUGUGCAUGGCGCUUGAGAGGGCAUCACGUGACUAAAAACGACCAACCAACGACCUCGCUUCGGCCAUCUUGGCAUCUUCAUCUUGGCGACCUUGCAUUGCCGUGGAUUGUUUUUAGUUGUUUGUAUUAUUUGUGCUUUUUAAGAAUAUUUUUUUAAUUCGGAUACUUUUAUAAUAGCUUUAAUAGUAUUAUUAACAUAGUGCAUAAAAUGGUGUCCUGUUUUUAACGCAGUUGGAGUAGCAGAAACAAAUGUAGAUAAAAAAAUCUGCAGGAAUAACGUUUCAAUUAUGACAGAAGCUCAAAACAAAUGACUGUGAAUGAAAAGCCCUAUUAAAAGCUUUCCAGAAGAUCCUGCGAAGAAGACAUGAAGUAUAGAUCAGAUUUGUUAAUAGAGGAGUAUGUUCAAAACACUUUUUAGAAAAAGAUAUUGACAGAACUUCACUUUCAUCUGUUCGUUUGAGAGACUGUGCUGUUCCAAUAGCUUAUGUCACACAGAAUCAGCUGAGAGAAGUGGUCUACAAAAAACCAGAAAGGAAACGGAAUAUGUGGCUACGAAAAGCAAAAGAAAGGUUUACAAAGCAAAUGUGACACUUUUUUUAUAAUAUUUAGGAAUGUCAGCAAAUUACAUUAAAAAAUGUAUGUAAAGAUUUUUUGCAAUAAAAAUGUUUAUAUUUA